UCAGGGAUUUUUUGCCAGGACAGAUUUGUUUCUGGAAUCCUCAACAUCUCAAUGCCCUGCAGAGCCCUCCCAUCUCUCACCUUUCCAGUGAAGCCAGUCUCCCCACCAAGGCUGAUUCCCACACGAGGACACUGCAGCUUUUAAAACACAAAACCAGCUGAAGAUGAGGAGGCAGCAGCCACCCUGUGCCUGUCAAAGCUGGCAAUUCCUGGCAUUUGAUUUGGAGGUUCUGCCCUGUGUUCCACACUCCCCUCUUUGCUGACUGCAGCGUGGGCAAGGGCAGGCAGUGCACCCCACCAAGGACAGCUCUGCCAAAGGGAUGCUGAGCCAAGACCCCCCCUCCCCCAGCGGUUAUUAUCCCAAAAUUAGCUUUUACUGGGGAGGUUUGCGCAUCCUGCAUCGAUGUCCAUCUGACAGGGGCUGAACUGGCUCAGAAAUAAAGAGCACAAAGCAGA